rnacentral:lncRNA from 1 species
CUUUGGUCUUGAAUUCACCAUUUCCCCCUCUAGCUGUUUCCAUCAGUGCCCAAGGGUUUGUUUCCCUUUCCUUCUUCCAUUCUGCCAUUUUAAACAUUUCUCCUGUGUUUUUGUGGGAAUUCUGGGAAGCCCUCAGGUUGUCUGAUAAAUGCUGUCCAGUAAAUAUAUUCUCUUGCCUUCUGCGAUGCAAAAUUACUUUCCUGCUUGUCUUCCCAGUGGACAAAUAUGAAAAUCAAUGA